GAUUUCCUUCUCUGAGUCUCACUUUUCUUAGAAGACUUUUUCCUUCUCCAGUCUUUGAAACACGUCUCAAGGAAAAAAGGCAAUCUGAGAAACUGUACUGAUGUUUUCCUCCCGAAAAGUCUUUACGCGGACAACUUAACGGUUUUGACCUUUAGGAGAGAGCCAAUUCUGGAGAACAACCUAACUUCUUUGAUUGAACAUUCACAUAAUGCAAUGGAACAUGAUAGGAGAUUAAGGUAUACUAAUGAAUUUUUAAAGCAUACGAUUUUAUAUCUUUGCAAUAUAAUUGAACUAGACAUUUGGUAAAGUUAGAACUUUUAGGUGAGCUAAAUUCAAUAAAGAUUUAUUGAUUAACAGAAGUUAUUCAGUGAAGUGGCCAAGGUUGAGCUUUUCUUGCUUUAUUAAAGCUUCAGAUUUUUUUAUGCAGUUGAUGUUCUUAUCCUGUAUGGGUCCAGCUCCAAAUGAGUUUAUUUAUUCUAAGAAUAAAUAUAUGUUAUGAGUUUUUUCUUAAGUUUGUUACUACAGUGUUAUAUGUUAAAUAAUUAAGUAGUAGAUUUUUCAUGUUAUAAAAUAGAUGGUUUAAAUCAAGUGAAAUUUGGUGCUUCAUUCUUUGAUAGAUAUAGUGGUAGAUAGAGCCUACGAAAUUUGAUAAGAUUAGUGAGAAUAUUUUAAGAGAACUUGAAAUAUUCCAAGUACUAUCCUAACCAAAACAGCAAUUUGGUUGAAACUGAAAAACGCACUUUCUAAAGCAGAAACCAGUAUCUUACUCAUAGGUACUCUGAGUAAAAUAUUUAAAUUGUUCAUAUCAAAAGUUGUAAACUCUUUAAAAAUAAACUGUAGAAUUCCAAAACUUCUAAUGAUUUGUCUUUACCUCCAGAAUACUUCAUCACAGAAUCACUUUUCCAGCAUAUUUACUUUAAAAUAAAGUUUAUUUUAUAAUUUUAGUUGAAAAUUUCAGAUACUUAGCUAAUAAAAAUUUCAGCUGCUUUCUAAAUUGUAAUCUGGUGUAAUGAAAACUCAUUUAACAGUAUUACUAAGUAUUACUUGAUUAAUUUUUGAAUAGUAAAGUAUUAAUUACAUGAUAAAGUAUUAACUAAAUGUGUUUUUUAAAACUAUUUGCUAAAUAAAGUGAAUUUGACUAAAAUAUACUAUAAUUUUUUCUUUACAUUUUUUUACUAGCAUUUAUUUUAUAUACUUAAGAUAUAGGAAAUCACAAAGGUUUGUUUUCAUAAGAAAAGUGUAAUUUAGUCUUAAGAGUCAAGUGUAUUUAUCACUUUGGUCAUAGAAUUGCUUUUAUCUUUAAAUAGUGUUAAAGGAUUUUUUUUCCAGCAAAUUCUUAGAUGUGUGUUUAAGAAUGUUUGAACAUUGAGAUAUAUAUCAAAAUACUUAAAAAUCAGAUAUUUCUGUUAUUAGCUAUUAGAUAAUCUAGGAAUGUAAAUCUGUUAACAGUUAAGUAAAAUGUUAAAAUUUAAUAGAAAUCAGUUUUAUAUAAGUGAAGUUCAGAUAUUAGUGUCAUGAUACUGUAAGGCAGUUGUUUGAUACAAGCUAUAAAAAGUUUUCAUAACUUUGAUUUAAGAAUGUUACAGAAAGCAGCUUAGUUUGAAUAGGAUGAGAACAGAUACAAUUUUUUCUCUGUAAGUGAUAUUUUUCAGGUUAAAGAACAUUAAGGUGAAAAGUAAAAAAUAUGGUUUCUCAGUAUCUGGAAAAAAAAAAUCUAGGUUCAUUUUGUCACUUUCAGUCCAGAUAUCUUUAGACACAGCCUUAAUGAGUCAAAGGAGGGAAGAGAUACAGCUUUUGAAUUUAUGUUAUAGAAAAAGACUUAAGUCCACAGAGUUGUUCCUCAUUAAGAGAGUUUAUGAUUUGUGAUCUCUGAAGUUGUCAAAAUGUUGUUUGGACACAAAUAUUUAGCAUCAUAAAAUUGUCCCUUAUAUAGCUUAUAAACUUCCAAAUUUUUAGUGAAUAAUUUAACACCUAAAAUAAUUGAUGCCGAUAUUAACAGUUUUCUUCUAUUGGUCAGCUCUUACAGAGUGAAAAACUUUAACCUAAUUAGUAGUGUAUGUUAUUUUAGAAGACAGGUUAAUAAGGGCUUUUACUGCUAUUAUGUGAUUGACUGUUCCUUAACUUACCCCAUAAAGGACAUUUUGUAAGGAUUUUGGCUGUUUUAAAUUUACAAACCUGUUUAUCUGUGUCUAACUAAGUUUUAAUAUGUAGUUCAUUAUGACAGGAUUUGGGGGAAAGCACUUACUGUGUUAUAUUUUUUUCAGUGCUAGAUUUUUAUCUUAUUUGUAUAAUAUUUAUAUUUUUGGUUAAAUGCAUUUUCAGGGUUAAAUAGCAUUCAUUUUCAGGAAAAUUCUCUGUUGUUUCCCAAAUACAGUUAUGCUGUCUGUGUUCUAGUUUUACUGAAAUAGUUAUCCUUAGGGGGAAAGAAUAUUUGGAUAAACUAGAAUAGAGGUAAUUUAACACAUCUACGUAUGAAGGGACUUGAAAUUAUUCAUUGUCACUGAUGAAUAAUGCUAGUUUAUAAAGACAACUUAUAUUUUAAACAGUUUAUCAGCUAUAAGAGUUUUCUUUAUUAGAGGUUUUAUAGUGUUGCUGAGGAUUCAUUGAAGAGUAGAUAGAUACAGUUUCUUAAUGAAGAAGCUUUAAAUGUUUGAAGCAGUUUUGUACAUGUACUUUAUGGGUUUUUUUGAUUAGUGAAUAGAUCAUUAAUCUUUUUCAGUUUCUUCAAAUAAGACCUAACACAUCAGACUUAAAUUUUCUGAUAAGGAUUUUCAAAGGGCAAUAUUUAAUUAAUGUGAAGAUUCAAUUUUUCAUUUAAUGUCAUUUUGAAGUAAAAUAUCAGUUCUCAGCACCACAAACCCCCACUUUUGUUAUUUCAUUAACAUAUAUGAUUUGGCUUAGUUUUACUUUCCUAUUUUCAUGGUUUGAGUCACUUGGAAGAGAAACAUGUAGCAUGUUUCAGAUGUAGUUGCUGAGGCUCAUCCUCUGGUUAAUAGUUUAUUUGUUACUGUUUCUAAGUUUCUUAAUUUUUUUUAAAUCCUUUUUUGAUUUUGCUCUUACUCUUUUAUUGUAUAACUUUCAUAGUAAACAAAUAUAUUUAGUAAUAUUGUUAUCCUGUGUUCUUCAGAAUUGUCUUUUUAAUUUUUAUUAUAACAUUGUUGGUUCAUUAUUGAGCUAUUGCUGAGUAGAAAACGGUUUUUCAAUUUUGAUAAAAAUUAAAGAUUGGGGGUUUUUAGCAAAAUAUCUGAAUUUUAUUUAUUUAAUAUUAUUGUAUUUUAUACUUUUAUUUAAUUUCAAACCUAACCUUCUUGACUAGCUGUUAUUUAAACUUAGCCACCAGUUCUAGCAUUUAAAAAAGUAAUUUACAGAUGUCCUAAUUUUUCUGACUUAUAAAUUAUUUUUCAGAAUCAAAAAUUGCUUAAGGUGUUUAAGAAUAUCUUUUAAAUUUAAAGUUAUAAGUCCAUAGAUGAAAUUACCUUUAAGUUUAAAGAUAAUUUGAUGAACAAAUACUUACAUUUCUGUUAGUGGUCAAUUGAUAUUAGGUACUUACUAAGUUUUUAGCUUUGUGUUACACAUUCAAAGUAGGUAAAUUACUUGUGGAAAUUUUUUUUAAUAAUUGAAAUUUUUGUAAAAGCUUUAUGGGCUAAAAUCGUAUUUAUUUGCUAAUAAUGUCUGAUGUCAAACUUGUGAUGUGAUUAGAUAUGUUGAAGCUGGGAGACUGGAGCUUUUUAUAAGCAUAAUAUAGUUUUGUUGCUUGAUUAAAGUUUAGAUACUUAGAUAUUUUCUAGUAUAGCUAGGGAACAUACUUUUUAUGAAUUCACCCUAAACCUGGUUAAAAUUCUUCUGAGAAUUUUGAUAAUUGAACAGUUAAAUCUAAACUAGGAGCUGAAGUGUGUCAUUACAUGUGUCAUUAAUUAUUUAACUUAGAUACAUUAUAGGUUCCCUUUCUAAUCAAAACACCAAUUUUGUCUUUUCUUCUCUCUCCACCUCACUUUUUAAAGAAAAAAAUCCUUAAAUAAUUUUAUCAUGUAGUGAUACAAGCAGAACUUCUGGGUAGGGAGGUUGAACUCAACCACUUUUUUCCUUUGUGUGUUAGUUGCAUGUGAUUUUCUCAGCUUGCUGCUUCAGUAGCAGCAACAGUGAAUAAACAAGUAUCAUCAGAGCCCUUGUUCUUGCUUCUUACUUUUGGGAACAGGGGUUGGGAGAUUGCUGCUGCUUGUCAGCUGUUGUUCAAAAUAGCAUCAAUAUGCUGUAGUGGUGGCCAAAGCAGCCUGCACCCACUAGCUUUUAUAGACCAGGUGGAAAUGGCCCAACUGUCAGUGUAAUACAUAUAUAGUAUAAUGAAUACGUUCUUUGACAAAAAGGUAUUUUCGUCCCAAAGCAGCUAAAAGAGAACAGUAGAUACUUUUAAUUCUUAGUUUCUUAUUAUUUUUUACUAUUUACUGUGUGGUUUUUAGUUCAUUUAAUUUUUAUAUAGUUAAUUCCAUGUUUGAAUGGAAAACUAUCUUGCUUCCAAAAGUAUAUAUAUGUUUCAUGCUUUUUACUUUUAAGCUGGUAGGCUGAAAUAAAUUAUUCAAUAAUUAGUGCUGAUAACACAAGUUAGAUAAUACAUUGGUAAUGGCAUUAGGGAAAGAAAAGCUGACUGUGGCCACAUAGGCGUGUUUCUUUCACUUUGGGAUCAUAUUCUAAAUUCGUGUUAUCUUUAUUUUAUAGCUCAGUUUAAAAGGCCAAAUUUUUAAUUGAUUUAACUGUAACUAAAAAGAACAAAAAUCUAUUACUACCUGAUGUUGUAUAUAAUUAAAGACAAAGCAGGCUGUAGAUGGAAAUUCAUAAAUCUUUUUCUCACUAUUAAAAUAAUGUCUUCUAUCUGAACUUUAUAUCUGGGAAGUUCAGGUUAUUCUAAAUCUUUUGAAAUAGGACUGUAAUUUACAAUAGCAUGGAGUGUUUUGAUUUUUAAGAAUUUGAAUCUGUAUAGAUUUACAUAACCUAAAUAUCUGUGUAUUUUUCUCCUCUUUUGUAUCUAAAUUCCAAUAGGUUGUAGUUAGGGGGAAGUGAAUAUUGGAUUUCUGUUAAAGUUGUGAUUUCAUUUUUAGAAUUUUUGGUGGAAAACCGCAAAUGACAUUUUUAGUGUGUAAUCCUAAUGCCCCAAUUUAGAGUUCAACAUUUGCAAUAGUAUUCUUUUAAACAGAGGUAACAAUGGGGUGUUUUUUGGUUUGUUUUGGGAUUUUUCCUAAUACUAGAGUAUUAACAUCUUUAAUAUGUUGAUAUAAUUUAACAGAUACCAUUAAUUACUGAUACCUACUCUUAAUCAAAACAGUGAGUUACAUAAUGCUUUAUAUUGAAAACACCUUAUUUUUACUACUAAUUACUGUGUAAAGCACCUGUGGAUCACCUGUACCAGAAUAACCUAGAAUAAAGCAUUUUUCCAGACCUGAUGAAUCAGAAUCUCUGGGGAUGGACUUAAGUAUUUAUGUUUAUAACAAGUGAGUUUUUCCUAGAAACCCCACAUGUGAGAACACUGCCCAAAAUGAAUUGGGAAAGGAUUCUUCACACCAAUAAACCAUCUACAUUUUCUGCCUUUUUUUCCCUCUUUGGUCAUCAUGGGUCUAAUCUCAGUAACUAAUUAUGAAUUUUAUCACUUCUAACAGUAAUUCUAGGAUAAGUCUUGGUAGUUCUUCAGUCAUAUAAGGAAAAUCUAUAUUAUGAGAGCUUUAUUUUAUGCAAAAGUGCCUUGGACCAAAUUUUAAGUCUAUUUGUUUAGAACAGUUAAUAUACUAUUAAACCUAUACUUGAAGCAAACAGAAGGAAUUGAUCACUUAAGAAUUUUUUAAAUUUUCGUUUAGAUGGUAGCUGUUUUUCUUAAGUAUACUUCCAAAUACAUAUUGGAGAAAAUACAGAAAGGAGAGUUUUUCAUAUGCUGCUUAUAGGAGCAUUUGGCAAUAUCCUAAAGUGGAAGAUAUACAUAGGCUCUAACCCAGCAAUCCUAUUCCUAGAUGUUCUAGAUAAACUCAGACAUUCGUGAAAAAGUCUUAUUUAUUUUUACUUCUAAUAGGAAAAAAUUAAAAGUAAUGUAAAUAUUAGGCAGUGAGAGAAUGUAAAAUUGUGACUUAAGUCAUGUGAUAAAAAAGUUAUACAGUUGUAAAGUGAGAUCUGUGUGUAUCAUCAGAGAUGAACGCUUUACUUCAGCAAACAGAAGCUAGUUGCACAAGGUCAGAUAUAGGAGUUCCCUGGUGGCUCAGCAGAUUAAGGAUCUUGUGCUGUCACUACUGUGGCGUGGGUUUGAUCCCUAGCCAGGGAACUUCUCCAUGACCCUCAUGCAGGCAAAAAAUAAAAAUAAAAAA
rnacentral:lncRNA from 1 species